AAUCAAGCACUGCUUGGUAUUGGGCGUCCGGCUCCCCCUCGCGGGCGGCCGCGCCCCAAACCCUUCGGCGAAGUCUCACCGGCUUUGGGCGUAGUAGAAUUACUUCAAUAACGUCCUCGCGGGUGCGGUCUUCCGCCGUCAAACCACCAUAUUUUUUACAGGUUGACCUCGGAUCAGGUAGGGAUACCCGCUGAACUUAA
rnacentral:misc_RNA from 1 species